UGGCAAACUAAUUGUGGCCGUGCCCGUGCGCGGCCGCUCGCCGGCGCCGCCGUGGCUGUACUUAUUCCUUGCUUCUUCACGGGCCGGGCAGGUGCGCUCAGAUUUCUCCCGCUGUGCUGCACUACACUGUACUGUACUGUACUGUACUGUACUGACGGUGCUGGUAUAUAUGGGUUUGGCAUCAGGAGAAAGCAGUACUAGCUGGUUGCGGUGCCAACUUAACUGGCGUGGAAAGUGGAAACCAGACAUUGCCUGCAGUAGUUCCUGAGUACUGCUUGUCAUAGUCCAUUGCUUUGGACUGCAAUACGGCCGCCGAUUUACUUGGAUGGCGCGGUUAGUUUCUGCUUUAUUCUCGAGCUGCACAUCUGAAGAGCCACACAUUUUUUAGGUAGGGAGUAUUGUUUAUCUCCAGCUGCUUUAUUCUUAAAUACUAGACUAGAAAGGCUAAUAUUUGGGUCCGUUUAUGGUUGCAUAUCCGUUGAUUAUGUAUUGUUAACAAUAAAACCAAACAAAUACUGUUUCUAUGAGAAGUGGGGAAAAUUUUGUACCACAAUUACCAUUUUUGGUUUUUGCAAUCAAAGAAAUAAAUUAAACAUUGUUUGGUAUGUUGUGACUGUAAUGGUUCAUACACCAUUUCAUCUAAUUUUUUACCAAGUCAGAUGUGCAGCCGUUUGACGCUAGUUCUAUCUUAAUCUUAGUCUUCUUCAUGCAACUAAAAGCGUUAAAGUAAAUGCCGCUGACCACAGUUUAGUGAGUUUGCCAUCAAUCACUGGCUCAGUUUUCGCACCAGCCAGGAUAUCUUGCUGCUGAAAAGUUGGUUAUGCCUAAUCGAAGAACUCAAGUCAAUCUCAUUCAAGAACGUCAUAUGCUGUUACAUCCUUCCUAUAUGUGCUGUACAUUACAGACAGAGAUAUCAUACAAGGCCUGCGGCGCCUCCAUCUGCACCCCUACAAACUUUGCUGGCUUGAUUCACCAUCUGUUCGUCUCACAAGCCAUUUUAGCUAUCCUCUACUUGUUUUCCCUCAAACUUUUCUUUGACCUCUUCAGGUUCGCUUAGGCUAAUUCCUCUGUCGAAAUCGGGAACUGUUAUAGGUAGAGGCUCAAUGUCAUCUGGAGGGUCAUAGUUUGGAUCAGCAAGAAAUGUAAGGGCCGUCACCACAUCACUGAUUAGUGGACGACUGCUUGCUUCUUCUUGUAGGCACAUUGAUGAAAUUGCAAGUGCCUGGUAUAGACCUUUUAGGGGGUACUUGCUGUCAAGUUUUGGAUCAGCCAUCUUGGUAAACUUCUUCUUAUCCUUGAAGAGUGGCGCUGCCUGCAGAUAUAGCAGCAUCUUAAUCCCAAACCGUAUGGGCAAUCUGUAUAUCUCAAGCAUGAGCUGUUUUACUUGGUUAUCACAAUUCAAUAUGACUACCAAGUGAAAAUUUCAAGGCUAUAGUAUUUCUUGGUCAAUUAGAUGUAAGUCUUACCCAGUGGACAAGAAUUUGCUCGCGAGUUGGUUUCGUGGUGUCGAUUGCUCGCCUCCCAGUGAUGAGCUCCAAGAGAACUACACCAAAGCAAUAUAUGUCUGACAUCUUUGUUAACUUGCCACUCAUGGCGUACUCGGGAGCGCAGUAUCCGUACGUGCCCAUCACCCUUGUGGUGACAUGAGUUUUGUCGCCGACUGGGCCAAGCUUUGCAAGGCCAAAAUCGGCCAACUUUGCACUGAAGUUCCCGUCCAAGAGAAUAUUUGAUGCCUUGAGAUCACGGUAUACCACCGGUGGAUUGGCUACCUCAUGCAAGUACUCGAGGCCUCUGGCAGCAUCAACUGCAAUCUUCAUCCGUGUAUUCCAGGACAGCGGCUGGGAUUUUGGAGUGAGAUCUGCAGAAUUCAAGUACCAAAUCAGCGUCGAUACAAAUGCGCGAUCAUAAUUUCUGAUCUUUCAAUUCUGCGGAAUAUUUUUGAGGACCACAACAUUGUUGUUCUGUAUUACCUAGGAGAUGAUCUUGCAAAGAACCGAGUGGCAUAUACUCAUACACUAGAAUCUUUUGGUCACAUUCGGUGCAGUACCCGAGCAAGGUGACAAGGUGUGGGUGAUGAAGGAGGCUAAGCAUCAGCACCUCGACAAGGAACUCACGAUUUCCUUGCAACCCAUCCUUGUCCAGCUGCUUAACCGCUAUGACCUACGUACGCACAUAAUUUACAUCAGAAACGUGUUGCUGCUGUAUGUAGCAUAGCAUCUUGAGGUGCCAACUUAAUGAAACAUAGAACAGGAAGCUGGGAGAAGGAAUGCUUAUUACUUCCAUGGUCUCUGAAAUGUAUCCUUUGUACACCCUUCCAAAGCCACCUUCUCCCAGGAGAUUCUCCUGGCUGAAAGAAUUGGUCGCGUCUGACAGUUGACUGUACGCAAACACUCUGCUAGGAAUGUUGUGGUUGCCAAUCCGUAGUAUUUCCCCUGCCGCAGCCCUGGCCUUGGGACUAUCUGCAUUUUAAGAUUUCUUCUCAAUCAGAAAUGCUUACUUAAUCGCCCAAACAUGAAUUACUAAUCCAGGAUUACAAAUUUCAGGGUGAAAGCAGGUCCAAGAAGAGGGGAAUGCAUAUACAACUUUCCUGAACAUCACUAACUGUUGUUGCAAUGUAUCUGAACUAAAAAUUCUUACCACCAGAUUUCCUAUGUAAGUACCUAAAUGCUCG
rnacentral:lncRNA from 1 species